rnacentral:rRNA from 1 species
CCUACGGGAGGCAGCAGUGAGGAAUAUUGGUCAAUGGGCGCGAGCCUGAACCAGCCAAGUAGCGUGAAGGAUGACUGCCCUACGGGUUGUAAACUUCUUUUAUAAAGGAAUAAAGUGAGGCACGUGUGCCUCAUUGAUAGUACUUUAUGAAAAAGCAUCGGCUAACUCCGUGCCAGCAGCCGCGGUAAUACGGAGGAUCCGAGCGUUAUCCGGAUUUAUUGGGUUUAAAGGGAGCGUAGAUGGGUGGUCAAGUCAGUUGUGAAAUUUCGGGGCUCAACCAAAAAAUUGCAUUUGAUACUGGCAGCCUUGAGUGCAGUUGAGGUAGGCGGAAUGCGUGGUGUAGCGGUGAAAUGCUUAGAUAUCACGAAGAACUCCGAUUGCGAAGGCAGCCUACU